ensembl:lncRNA
AUGUGUUUGUCACCAAACCAGAUGACAGUCAGCUGUUUCUCUGAAGGAGAUGAAGUAGAGUUCAUUUUGUCUUUGGAUGAUAAGUUGUUGAUACAGACUACAGCCAACGGUAUAGGAAACUGCAACAUUUCAAAUGUUACCAUUAACUUACCUGGUCAACUGAUGGAAAACCUGACAUGUGUUGCUCAAAACAAUGUCAGCAGAAAACAAAAUAUCACCCACCUUACAAGCUGUACAGCUCCUGUGUCAAAACCAGCUGUAUCUCAGGUGUGUUCGUCGCCAGAACAAAGGAAAGUCAGCUGCUCCUCUGAAGGAGAUGACGUAGAGUUCAUCUUCUUAUUAGAUGAUAACUUGUUGAUAAAAACCCAACCCAACAUUUCAGAAAACCACAACAUUUCAAAUGUUACCAUCAGCUUACAUGGUCAACUGCUGGGAAAGCUAAUGUGUAUUGUCCAGAACAAUAUAAGCAGACAACAAACCAUCAUCCACCUUAUAAGAUGUACAGGUAAUAUUUCUGACCACUGUGUCGUGACUGUGGCUGUGGUAGGAAGCAUUGCCAUUCUACUCAUUCUGGCUGUGUUUCUUGGUGUCCGGAAAUUCCAAAAGACUGGCACUAUGACUGUUAAUGAAGAUGAUGCUGAAGUGGAUGUUGUCUACUCAGAGGUUAGACUGAAGCAGGAUGGAAGAGAAACAAGAGAAACACCACCUAUUUCAAAUCAAGAUGAAAGUUAACGUUGACUUUUGGUCAAGUAGCUAAUAAAACUAUGCCAGUUUAGCAGUUCCAGCUGUGCAGUUAAUGUAAAGGUAAACAUAUUUUACAAGUACUCACUGGAUUACUUUAAUUUUGAAGAAAACAUAAAGGGAUAAAAAAGGAAUUUAG